CCUACGGGAGGCAGCAGUGGGGAAUAUUGGGCAAUGGAGGCAACUCUGACCCAGCAACGCCGCGUGAGCGAUGAAGGUCUUCGGAUUGUAAAGCUCUUUAAGCGGGGACGUAGAAAGUGACUGUACCCGCAGAAUAAGACUCGGCUAACUACGUGCCAGCAGCAGCGGUAAUACGUAGGAUGCAAGCGUUAUCCGGAAUGACUGGGCGUAAAGGGUGCGUAGGUGGUUUGGUAAGUUGGUAGCGUAAUCCCGGGGCUCAACCUCGGUGCUACUACCAAUACUGGUGAACUUGAGUGCAGGAGAGGUGAAUGGAAUUCGCGGUGUAGCGGUGGAAUGCUUAGAUAUUGGGAAGAACACCGACGGCGAAGGCGAUUCACUGGACUGUAACUGACACUGAGGCACGAAAGCGUGGGGAGCAAACAGGAUUAGAUACCCGGGUAGUC
rnacentral:rRNA from 1 species